UCCAUCUUUCUCAGACUCGGUGUCCCUCUCCAAACUGAAGGUCUCAGGGAACUUCUCAUCCUCGUAAACGUGAGUCUACAGAAAGUACAAUGCAGCCUGACAUGACGAGGCUGUGGCUUUUUGUCCGUCUGUCCCAUCAGCUCCAAAGAGUCCCGAUGGAAGAGGUGAACGUCUCUCAAGAGUGCCUGAGUAGCUUCUCACACAUGGUGACGUGAGAUCAAAAACAGAAAGAAAAAGGAGAAUGCCUUCUGCCCAUACAGAAUGCAACACUAAAGAAAAACAAUGAAUAACGACUUCUCACAAAGCUUCUUUGUGGCUUCCUGUGUAUGUCUACACAACCACCUCUCCUACCAGCAAGCCAGCUGUGCAAGGGCAAGGCCGGCUGCAGGAUCUGGCACGGGGCUCAGCAGGAUGGAAGGCAGAAACACGGACCCAGGAAAUAAACAGGGCAGGGGUCUGGGAGGGAUUGUCGGUGCGUGAUCACUCCCCGUGAGGUCACGGAUUGAUCUCCAGCCCUCGCGACUGUCACACCUCAGAUGCUCCGCCUCCUGGGUGAGCAGAUGAACAAGUGAGUGACACACAGGCUGCUUUGCCCACGAAGCUCAGCCCCAAGCUGACUGGAGCCUCGGCGGCACCUCUUCAGAAAUGGAGGAGUAGACGGGCUUGCUGGUGGACGCCUGGCUGCUUCCCAGUCCGGGGCUGUUAGGAAGCUGCUGCCAUGGGCAGCUGCAUGCAAGUCUUCCUGUGAACACAUCUUUCCUUUCUCUCGCUACGUCACAGACAGAUGAAUGUUCGAUUGUAAAGAAACUGCCAAAUGGUGGCUGUAACAGUGGUAUCAUACUAUUUUUUGUUAAUUUUGGCCCAUCUAAUGGACACAAAGUAGUAGUUCCUCAGCGUGUUAUGCUGUGUUUCCCCCAAAGAAUAAUCAUAUUUGACACCUUUAAUGCCCUCACUGGCCUUUGUAUAUCUUUUUUAAUAAAGCGUUAAAAACUUUUA